rnacentral:rRNA from 1 species
CCUACGGGAGGCAGCAGUAGGGAAUAUUGCUCAAUGGGGGAAACCCUGAAGCAGCAACGCCGCGUGGAGGAUGAAGGUUUUCGGAUUGUAAACUCCUUUUGUUAGAGAAGAUAAUGACGGUAUCUAACGAAUAAGCACCGGCUAACUACGUGCCAGCAGCCGCGGUAAUACGGAGGGUGCAAGCGUUACUCGGAAUCACUGGGCGUAAAGAGCGCGUAGGCGGGAUAGCAAGUCAGAUGUGAAAUCCUAUGGCUUAACCAUAGAACUGCAUUUGAAACUGUUAUUCUAGAGUAUGUGAGAGGUAGGUGGAAUUCUUGGUGUAGGGGUAAAAUGCGUAGAGAUCAAGAAGAAUACUGAUUGCGAAGGCGACCUGCUAGAACAUAACUGACGCUGAUGCGCGAAAGCGUGGGGAGCAAACAGGAUUAGAUACCCGGGUAGUC